rnacentral:lncRNA from 1 species
UGUGUUCAAUGUUCUCCUCUUUUGCUCACUUCACUUUGCAUCAUUUUAUAUUAGUCUUUCCCACUUUUUUGUAAUCAUCUUGUUUGGAAUUUCUUAUGGCACAAUAGUAUUCCAUUAUAAUCAAAUACCACAACUUGUUCAGGCAUUCUCCAGUUGAUGGACAAACCUUUAUUUUAGUAUUUAUAAACUCUAGAGGUCUUUAUCUCAUUUCCAACUCUCAUUGGCAAGGUGGGUCCCUAGAGCAAGACUACAUAUUUUCCUCAGGGAUCUAGAGGUACCCCUGUGAAGCUGAGGGUAUUCUUUUAAUGUUAUCAGCUUUUGUCUUUUUUUUCUUCUGAUGUUUCCUUCCCAAUACUAAUCACCAGUGAUUGGAACUCCAAUAUCUUUUAGCCAAUUAACAUCAAUUCACUUCUAGAAAGGAUUAUUUAAUGCGAAGAUAAAGCAAGAACAUAAGUACCCACAUCUCCUCUCCCUAUCCCCAUCCCUGAUGUCACCUCAAUCCCUAGGAAAUAGACUAAAAUCAAAUGCUUCCUACAAAGGAUUCACUCUACCAAGUUCAUAAUAGAAUACAGUAUAGUUGAUGAACAUCUCUGUGUGGAUCCAUUACUGAGUUGGGUCAGGCAGAUCAUUUGGUUUUUAUUUCCUCAGUUUCACCAAGAAACUCUAGUAUAGACUCUCUUCCUGGACAAGGUCCCAGCCCAGUAUUUCCAAUUUUCCUUUACAUAAGACAGUAAAGAAUAGACACAAUUGGGAAUGAAGUAACAGCAGAAACAUGUGUUCAUAGUUUCAUGUCAACUUAGCUUGGGAAAAUAGGCUUUUGACUCUGUCUCUCUGUCUCUAUCUCUCUCUGCCUCUCUCUUCUGCCUCUCUUUGUCUCUCUCUGUCUCUCUCAAACACACACACACACAGAGUCUAUCAUUUUGCCCCAGAGUUCUCAGGACUCCUCAAGGUCCAUGACAAGAGCUCAUAUUGGAACUAUGUAUUGGUAAGGGCUAGGCAAUGGGGGUUAAAUGACUUGCCCAGGGUCACACAGCUAGGAAGUGUCUGGGGCCAAAUUUGAUCACAGGACCUCCCAUCUCUGGGUCUGGUUCUUAAUCCACUGAGCUAUCUAGCUGCUCCCUCUUGUCCUUGAAUUUUAAUGGAAGACAUAAACUUAAGGGAAUGAAUUUCAAAUAGAAUUUCUGGUACUCUGACAAAUCUCAGGGUAAAAUAUUUUGGCAGUGGAGGAAAGUUCCUGCUUCCUUUCAAGCCUCUGGUGGCUGCCAAAUGUCCGUUAAAGCCUCCAUUUUCAUUCUGGAUUGCUCGUUGUUUUCCUGUGUGACCUUAGGCAGGUUAAUGCUCAUCUCUGGGCGAUUGCUCCCUAACGUCUCCCAUUAGAGGGGUUGUAUCAGAAGACAUCUAAGGUUGGACUUUGUAGGCUCUAGGUCCUUUCCAGGUGUUAUAUUCUAUAGCCUGUUGAAGCUUUUCCCAGCUCUGAUGUGCUAUGUUCUGUCUUUGAUGGCUCCUUCAGCUCUGUC